rnacentral:rRNA from 1 species
CGCUGGCGGCGUGCUAACACAUGCAAGUCGAACGAGAAAGUGGAGCAAUCCAUGAGUACAGUGGCGACCGGGUGAGUAACACGUGACUAACCUGCCCUCGAGUGGGGAAUAACUCCGGGAAACCGGAGCUAAUACCGCAUAACAUCGCAAGAUCAAAGUCGAAAGACGCUUGAGGAGGGGGUCGCGGCUGAUUAGCUAGUUGGUAGGGUAAUGGCCUACCAAGGCUGAGAUCGGUAUCCGGCCUGAGAGGGCGCACGGACACACUGGAACUGAAACACGGUCCAGACUCCUACGGGAGGCAGCAGUGGGGAAUUUUGCGCAAUGGGGGAAACCCUGACGCAGCAACGCCGCGUGGAGGAUGAAGUCCCUUGGGACGNUAACUCCUUUCGACCCGGACGAUACUGACGGUACGGGUGGAAGAAGCACCGGCUAACUCUGUGCCAGCAGCCGCGGUAAUACAGAGGGUGCGAGC